UAGGGAAUAUUGCGCAAUGGACGCAAGUCUGACGCAGCGACGCCGCGUGGGUGACGAAGGCCUUCGGGUCGUAAAGCCCUGUCGGAAGGGAAGAAAAACGAUGUGGCUAACAUCCAUAUCGCUUGACGGUACCUUUAAAGGAAGCACCGGCUAACUACGUGCCAGCAGCCGCGGUAAUACGUAGGGUGCAAGCGUUGUUCGGAAUCAUUGGGCGUAAAGCGCGUGUAGGUUGUUGGAUAAGUCGAGUGUGAAAUCCCUGGGCUCAACCGAGGAAGUGCAUUCGAAACUAUCCAGCUCGAAGAUGGCAGAGGAAGGUGGAAUUCCUAGUGUAGAGGUGAAAUUCGUAGAUAUUAGGAGGAAUACCGGUGGCGAAGGCGGCCUUCUGGACCAUUCUUGACACUGAGACGCGAAAGCGUGGGGAGCAAACAGGAUUAGAUACCCCUGUAGUCC
rnacentral:rRNA from 1 species